UACGUAGGGUGCAAGCGUUGUCCGGAAUUAUUGGGCGUAAAGAGCUCGUAGGCGGUUUGUCGCGUCGGCUGUGAAAACUCGGGGGCUCAACCCCGAGCCUGCAGUCGAUACGGGCAGACUAGAGUGCUGUAGGGGAGACUGGAAUUCCUGGUGUAGCGGUGGAAUGCGCAGAUAUCAGGAGGAACACCAAUAGCGAAGGCAGCUCGCUGGGACGUUACUGACACUGAGGCGCGAAAGCGUGGGGAGCGAACAGG
rnacentral:rRNA from 1 species